rnacentral:rRNA from 1 species
GAUGAACGCUAGCUACAGGCUUAACACAUGCAAGUCGAGGGGUAGCAGGGUAGCAAUACCGCUGACGACCGGCGCACGGGUGAGUAACACGUAUCCAACCUUCCCAUAACUCGGGGAUAGCCUUUCGAAAGAAAGAUUAAUACCCGAUAGUACUUUUUCGAGGCAUCUUGAGAAAGUUAAAGAUUUAUUGGUUAUGGAUGGGGAUGCGUUCCAUUAGAUAGUUGGUGAGGUGACGGCUCACCAAGUCCUCGAUGGAUAGGGGUUCUGAGAGGAAGGUCCCCCACAUUGGUACUGAGACACGGACCAAACUCCUACGGGAGGCAGUAGUGAGGAAUAUUGGUCAAUGGGCGAGAGCCUGAACCAGCCAAGUAGCGUGAAGGAUGAAGGUCCUAUGGGUUGUAAACUUCUUUUUUAGGGGAAUAAAGUGAGUCACGUGUGACUUUUUGUAUGUACCCUACGAAUAAGCAUCGGCUAACUCCGUGCCAGCCGCCGCCGUAAUAC